rnacentral:lncRNA from 1 species
GACGACAGAGGAGAAAGAGAAUAGAAUGCAAGAGACUAGUAAAGAUGUUGCAUCAAAUGAAUCCACCAUUAUAGAUUUGGAAGUAACGGUAGAGAGUUUACGUAAUGAAGUACAGAUGAAAAGAGGAGAUAGAGAGCUUGAUGGAUAAGUAACCGAACAAGUGUGACCGAGAAAGAGUGAGAGUUGAAGAGAAUAGAAGGUA